AGUAUUCCACAAGGCUGUCCUGCACAGUGGUAAAGAUUGUCCCCGCCCCUGGGGUUCUCUUAGAACACUUACAGCAUGGCAAUUCCCCAGUGCUUUCCGGCUCUCUCUCCUGCUGCCUGGAAACCAGAGAGGCCAAUGAGGGCCACAGUGGGUGUGAUGGUCAAGGGUCCAAUAUACCUCAGCAGAGCCCCAGGCAGGCCAAGGAGGCCAAUGACCACUUCUAUCAAUGAAGACAUGAUGAUAGCCCCCUGGAUCUGAAACAGAAAAGGGUACAGUUUGAGAGUGGUGUCAAACACUUUGAAUGUUACCUGCAAUCACAACUGACAUUUCUUCAAGGCAACAAGUCCUAGCGUACAGCAGCACAACAACUGGGAUACUCCCCAUGGGAUACUCCCCAGGGCCCUCCAAGUAAGGUUUCUGUGGAGAUAACUGAGGACCAGCACACUAACACGGCAUCGCUGCUGAGGUAGCUGAGGACCAGCACACUAACAUGACAUCGCUGCUGAGGUAACUGAGGACCAGCACACUAACACGACAUCGCUGCUGAGGUAACUGAGGACCAGCACACUAACAUGACAUUGCUGCUGAGGUAGCCGAGUACCAGCACACUAACAUGACAUCGCUGCUGAGGUAACUGAGGACCAGCACACUAACAUGAUGUUUCUGCUAUAAGGUUAACUGAAGAAAUGGGGACUGACAACAAAUCUGCUGCUUUCUCCACUGCAGGGUGAGAUGGAUAGAUCUAUCAGCUCUCAGAUGAGCAUGCUGUCAACCCAGUCCUGCGAGAUAUUUCAGUACAGACAUCUUUAAAAGACUAAACCCCUGAAAGACAUUCAAAAAACAGAGUUACUGACAAAACUCUAAAAGAAUGUCCAUGUCACAGAAAGUGACAUUUGUACUAAAUCUAAAGAUUUCAUGGGUGACACUAUGAAUAUAUAUGUACUCAUCAGCUAGUUUGCUGUACCUAGGGACAGCUUUAAUCAGCUCUGCUCAAAUGCACUUUGGCCUCCAAAAUUAUCUUUAGUUCUUUCAACAAGCAGGCAUGACUAACAGCUUGCUUGUUCUGAGAUGCCUGUGUUAGUAAGGCUCACCUCUGGGUGUGUCUGUCAUGUUGCUUCCAGAGACAAGCAGUUAAUGGAUGGCUCCUAAGAUGAACACAUUAUUAAGAGAUGGGACCUAGCUGGAGGAAGUGAUACUGCAAUGUGUGUCUGGGAACUCUAUCUUGCCCUGGUCCCUUCUUGUGUUCCUCACUCUCUUCCUGGCUGCCAUGAGCUGAACUAUGACCUCCCCACCACCACAGACAAAGCCUCGGGCACUGAGCUUUCUCCAUUCAAGCUGUCUUUAGCAUUCUAACACAGCAACAAGGUAGCUAACAACACACAGACACAAAGCAGCCAGACCUCUUCUCCAGCACCAUCACGCUUCAGCCAUCACACUGGAGGACAUAAGCAGGCAGGCCUGGGUACUGACGACAUGAAGCUCAACAGACAGUAGAAAUAGGCAUUCCAGUAGUUGAAAAUAGAAGGUUCCGUAAGGAUCUUUGCAGUCACUACCAAGGGGAAUGAAAGUCACCUGCAGAAAACCACAGUAGCCAGAUCCUUAAAAAGCAAAGAUGUUUGAGAGAAGGGAUGCUGAUGCAGCGAGAGAGUGACUAUGUAUUUACAGUUCCCACACCCAGCACAAUCGAAGUCUGUGUACCGCAAGUUCAGCAUCCUGACAAGGAGACCUCUCAAUACCUACUUGUCACACUGGAACCCAUCCAUCAGGAUGUCCCACUAGGUGAAGAUGCUUAUUUAAGGAUGCUGCCUGUGUGAGCAGGUGCAAACCCAGUCCUGUAACAUCAUCAGGGACAUGCUGCUCCACCAUUCUUCCACCUCCCUUCCAGAGCCCAGGAAGAAGAGCAUGGAUAAAACCGGAAGGAAGAAUAAGAAGGUCUGGGAGAACUAAAAGGUGGUCAGGAAGCUGAAUAUGAUUAAACUGCAUUGUAUACUUGUAUAAAAUUCUCAUCAAAUACACAAAUAAAAAUAAGCAUACUGCUGAGUUCAACACUA